AUGGCUGUGGGGAUGCAUUCACUUUCAUCAUUUUGGAAGCAUAGAUAGGUUGAGUGCUGUCAAUGACGAUAGAAUAGGAAUGAAAGGAAGCUCAGUUUAUAGAAAAAACUCAGUUUUUUAGUUUAUCUAAUUCCUAAUGUGGUAUAUGUGUAUAGGUAUGUGUUUGGUAUGUGUUUUAAAGAAAUACUGGUGAACUAACAUAGUAUAACAUUAUAUUUUGUUAUAUAAACUUAAUAUAAAUCCUAUUAUUGAACUUUUAACAUGCAGCUUAAUAAUUACUUUGGGGGGAACGUGAUUUAUUUAUGUUUUUUUUCUUUUUAAAAAAUAUUUUAUUUGAAUUCAAUUUGCCAGCAUAUAGUAUAACACCCAGUGCUCAUCCCAUCAGCAGCUUAAUAAUUAUUAUGAUCAUCUUUUGCCAUGUUUGCUUUAUUCAAAAGUAAACAUGUAGUAAAGCAACAAAUGCUAUGUCAUAAAAACUUAGAUACAGGAGUAUAAACAAGGUUGCUGAUCUGUGGGAAUAGUGGAAGCUAUUUUUGCUUCUAUGUAAGUCUUCGUGGUUUGCGAAUAAGGUAACAUGGUUGCAAUAUCAUAAUUGAAAUACUAGGGGAAAUGUAAAAUGUGCUCUAUUAUUAUAUAUUACUAUUGCAAUAAUUAUUAUUAGGUAAAUGGAAGUAGUUUUAUGUGGUUUUACAGUCAUGAGGGGAAAGAAUAAGAUUUUGGACUAGGAUAGAUAGAUAGAGGCGGGGAGAAUCUAGAAUGACUUCCUAGUUCCUGGCUUGACUCUAGAGUAUAACAGUGGUAUAGUUAACUAGGAUAGAGGCAAAUAGAGGAAGAGGGAUUUUUUCUUAUGUGUAUGUGUGUAUAGGAUAUGGAAUAGAAAACUGGGGAAGGGGAAGGAGAUGAGAAACUCAUUGAAGACAUAUUGAAUAUCAAAGAUUGUCCCUGGGAUAUCCAUAGAGAGAAGUUCAGUAGGGAGCUCAGCAUGUGCCUCUGAAGCUUAGGAGAAACGUUGGGGCUGGAAGAGAAUGUCACUAAAUAGGUAAUAGUUGAAAUUUUGGGGGAACUGGAUGUCCUUGCUUAUGGAAACUGAAUAUAGUGAGGAAAUGAGAAACAAAUUAGUAAAUGGGCAAAGUAAGAUAAGGCAGCAAAAAAAUUAAGAAUAAAUAGGAUGGAAGGGAACAUCAACAGAGCUCAGUGUUGUAGAAUACAGUGGGAGAGAGGAUUCAGUAAAAAAGGAGUCCAGAGUAUUGAUUAUGCCCCCUUUUUUUUUGCCCUCACAAAUUAAGAGUCAUGAGGGCAAGGACUAUGUCUUAUUUAAUACUGCAAAUAUUUUGAUUAAUGGAUAAACAAAUGAUGACCUCAUCAUUUUGAAUAUUUAUUCAUGUUGAAUUAGUGUUUUUGGAAACUUGAGUGUUUCUUACUACAAGCAGUUGCUACUCAAGAAUAUACAAGAUAAGCAAGAUAUAGAAAAAAAUUAAUAAUCCUAAUAAUCCUAACCCAGAAAUAACAACUGUUAACUCCGUUUUCAAAUUUUUAUACUUGUUUGUUGUUCAUCCUAGAAAUGAAUAUUUAGCUAUAAUAUCCUUUAAUGGCUGAGUAAGUAUUCCAUAUGGAAUAAGGAUGUACUAUAAUUUUGGCAAUUUCUUAUUUGAGGGUAUUAUAUUUAUGUUUUUCUCUAUUUGUAAAAGGGACAAUCUAAUAGUUACUUUUUUUGCUUUAUUUCCUUAGGAUGCAGUCUUAGAAGUGGAUUUUCCAGUAAGGUCUUCAUAGCCAGCCUGUUCUUCUUUGUUUUAGGCUUAUUUCUAAUAGGCUUGUUUAUAUGUGUAUUCUUAUUCUAUCCUGGAUUGGAAUCAGAAAAUUGAACAGUAUUGCAGGUACUGAAUGAUGUAAACAUGCUGAUAGCCACAAAAGUGAUAAUUGACUCCACUACAAGAAAUGUUAAACUCUUUCAGAUGGAAGGGAAAUGAUAUCAGAUGGAAAUAGAGAUCUACACAAAGGAAUGAUGAACACUGGAAACAGUAAUUAGAUGGGUAAAUGUGUUUCCACAAGAAAAGACAGCAUAUAUUCCUACAGAGACCUGUACAUGAAUAUUCAUAUUUUUAAGUCUCCAAUGUGAAACAACCCAAAUGUCCACCAACAGAUAAAUGGAUAAAUUGUGAUAUAUUCAUAUAAUGGAAUACUACUCAGCAAUAAAAGUGUAGCUCUGUCUGCUGAAACUAAGAAAUUGAAUAUGCGACCUUGGAGGAUCUUUUCAGGCUAAUACUAAACCCAGUAACUUACCUACACACUUCAUGUCCCUAUGAUGCACAACUCCAUUGGGCACUAUUUACAUUGUAAUGUAUGUAAAUGGCAUUUCCUGAAGCAGGAUUAAGAAGCUCCAGGAUUGGUUCCUGGAAGUGGAACUACUGUAUCAAAGAUUUGGACAUUUUUAAGACCCAAGAAAGGUAAUAUAGUAAUAAACGUGAUUGUAAAUUUGAACACCUUCUUAGCAACACUAGUUACUAACACUUAUCUUCAAUCUUUGUCAAUCUGAUGGGGAGACUCCGUGUGUAAUUGAAUUUGAUAAAAUUGCAAUUUUGCUCAUAUACUCACAUUAAUAACUUUACUGCCUCAAAGAUCUAAUAUUCUUUGUCUUCUCUGUGAUGCUUACUCAGCUGGUGAAGAAAUGUAUUUUUUAUUGACUUUGGCAAUAUUUCUUUUAAAAUAAAUUAUAUUUUGAACACAUGCAAAGGUGAAGAAAAAUAGUAUAAGGAAGGAUCCAAAUUAUUUUACUUAGUAAAAAAAAAGGUGAGAUUGUAUUUAAUUCUUAAUGUAGUGGUAAAUAGAGCAUUAUUACUAUAAGCUAGCAGUAUCCUAUUUUACUUAUUGAAUUUAUUUCUUUAUUGAAAUCAUAUUGGAUUUAUUGCUUAAUGUGCCAUUUUCACUAUAGCACUUUCCAAAAUGCUUCCUAAAUGCUUAGCUUAUAGUCAAGAAAAACAUUUACUAGAUAACUACUUUGAAAUAACUACCUCAACCUUGCUUUCAUUCUCAAUGCCUUAGAAACAGACUUGCUUGCCUACGUUAAUUUUCUUUCAUGUUAUCAUUACUAUGAAGUCAUUCUAUAGAUAGGGUAAUAAGCAUCCUGGCAUGCAGGGAAAUAGCAUCUGUAAAACUAUAUGGCGCAGUAUGGUUGGGGUUCUUCCUCCCUCAGAAUCUCAUUACGUAAUUUAAAAAUGUUUACUUAAGCUCCUUUGGGCUGCCUCCAUGGUAGCUAUGAAAUCACAGAAUUAGGAACAGUUUGGGGCCUGAUAACAAAGUCUAUUAGUUUAAUGUGAAUGCUGUGUCAGUUUCUUUUUUAUCAUUGCUGUAUAAGAACCUUUAAAAACAAAGAUAUAUUUUAUUCAUUUUACUUUUUAAAACAUGUAUGCUUCUUCAAAAAUCGAAAUACAUAGAGGGGUUCAUAAAUAUAUGUUUGCUCAUUAUCUAGAUGUGCUUAUUUUAAAAUUUGUAUUCCAUACUAUAUAUUCCCACAAUGUGAUUCUGACUCAAUAGAACUAUAAAUAAUUAUGCAGAAUGACCAAAACAUGUAGAGGUAUUAGCCCUCAGGAGAGCAUGAAUUAUUAAAAUUCUAUUUCUAAGCCAAGAAAGCACUAUUUAUUUCUAAGUCGUAAAUGAAAUCUUUCUAAGAGAACAUCAAAUAUGUAUAAAUUAUAAUAUCAGCUUUAGGAGAAUUUAAAAAUAUACUAGGUUAUAAGAAAAGAUUUUUUUAUUUUGAUUACUCAAAGAAAGGUAGUAUUUUCACUUCCUUAGAGAACUCUUGAGCCUCUUUACCAAGCAAAUAAUUAUGUGUACUGGUUUUAAAGAAAAAUAAUGCACUGUGCCUUGUAAACAUGGAAGAACAGUCAUUUAAAUUUUGCAUAAAAUCAUCAAAUGGUUUAUCACCUUCAAGGCAACAUGCAGAUUCUUAUUAGAUACCUAAAAUCUCACAUCCCUUUUGGAACUACUGAGUUUUAUGAGUAAACAAGCCUAAGUCAAGAUCCUGAUACCUAAAAACAUAGCUCUUUUAAAGAAAUGUCAUCUUAAUUAUGUAACAUGAAUUUGUUAUAAAAUACUUUAUUGGGAUACUCUCUAUAGCAUUUUGCUUGUUAACCCUGAGAAGUAAAGACAUGUCACUGAUGGCCUUCCCAGUGAUCUAGUGAGGUACAAAGUCAGGGAUAAUUCAAGGAAGGAACAGCAAAAACUUUUAGGACCUGAUCAUCACUUUGGAAGUAUAGCCACUGUGGGGGGGUCCUGCCUGGAUUGGGAGAGAGAGGUAUCUUGUAUAGGGGGCCUGGCCUGGAGUGGGGAGAAUGGUCAGAAGGGAGGAGGAGGAAAGAUUAUGAGACCAACUGCCUACUGGGUUGGUUUAGAAUUAGCUUUGCUGUAACAAUGGAAUGUCUGCAAUUUUGUAUCUCAUUCUGAUAUCAAAAGACAAUAUUUGGUUUCUUAUGUUUAAACACUUUUAAUAUAUAAUACAUUGUUUAUAAAUCUGU